GCUCUUUUCGUCUCGCCGUCCUCACCUAUAUUCGGGGGCCGGCGCGAGCCGGCUAUGGCGAUAAAUGGCCGUCGUAAUAAACCCAUCGGACCCGGGGGCAGUACCCGGCGCCUCCACCCGUGCGGCCGCCCCAGGCGGCCGGGCCGCAUCGGCGGGGGCGAAACAGGAUCGACGAGGGCGUAAAGGGCGUGCUUUUGCUCGGCAUGGUACCACCGAUAUCGGGCCAUAUUCAUAGUUGCCAACGACAACUAUGCUCCGGUGGCUCAGGCCGCGUAACGCGGCUUGAAAGACCGAUCUGAAGCCCUGGCGGGUUAAGCUCCGUCAGGCGGGGUUCGGAGGCACCUGGCAACAGAAGCCUCCACU
rnacentral:tmRNA from 1 species